GCCGGGAUAGCUCAGCUGGGAGAGCAACAGACUGAAGCCGUUGGGGUUUUCUGGAGGUCCCGUGUUCAAUCCACGGUCCUGGCA